CGCGGCCUAUCAGCUUGUUGGUGAGGUAACGGCUCACCAAGGCAUUGACGGGUAGCUAGUCUGAGAGGACGAAUAGCCACACUGGGACUGAGACACGGCCCAGACUCCUACGGGAGGCAGCAGCAGGGAAUCUUGCACAAUGGACGAAAGUCUGAUGCAGCGACGCCGCGUGGGGGAUGAAGGCCCUAGGGUCGUAAACCCCUUUCAGUGGGGACGAAACUGACGGUACCCACAGAAGAAGGUCCGGCCAACUACGUGCCAGCAGCCGCGGUAAGACGUAGGGACCGAGCGUUGUCCGGAAUUAUUGGGCGUAAAGAGCUCGUAGGCGGUUGCGUAAGUCGGAUGUGAAAGCUCAGGGCUCAACCCUGAGACGCCAUCCGAUACUGCGCUGACUUGAAUCCAGUAGGGGAGUGUGGAAUUCCUGGUGUAGCGGUGAGAUGCGCAGAUAUCAGGAGGAACACCUAUGGCGAAGGCAGCACUCUGGGCUGGUAUUGACGCUGAGGAGCGAAAGCAUGGGUAGCAAACAGGAUUAGAUACCCUGGUAGUCCAUGCCGUAAACGGUGGGCACUAGGUGUGGGGACUUUCAACGGUUUCCGUGCCGAAGCUAACGCAUUAAGUGCCCCGCCUGGGGAGUAC
rnacentral:rRNA from 1 species